rnacentral:tRNA from 1 species
GAGAGAGGCCCGUUUUGCAACGGAACCUGCUAACUUCCGCCCCCUUGGUUAAACCCCGAGGCUCACUCG